rnacentral:tRNA from 1 species
CUGUUUUUGGCCGAGUGGUUAAGGCGAUGGACUUGAAAUCCAUUGGGGUCUCCCCGCGCAGGUUCAAAUCCUGCCAACUACG